GCAUCUGGAUAGGUUAUGGGCUUGUGGAUAGGUUAAUAACCUAUCCGGAUGUUCGUAACCUAUCCGCAUGUUCGUUACCUACCCGGAUAUGC
rnacentral:tRNA from 1 species